rnacentral:piRNA from 1 species
UGAAGGCAUUCCAUGAUGAGUCGUGCAAG